rnacentral:rRNA from 1 species
AAACGGGUGGCGUCAAGCUGCACACCUGGAGAAUUCAGUCGGCUAGGAUGUUGUGUAUGCGCUUGCGCAUCAACCAGUCAGUGUAAGAUUGGAUGGUCUACUGGAAGACAGUGGGCCCUGCCGCAAGGUGGGGACGUGUGUACCGGUUGGAAGCCGGAGCACGCCGUCCGUCUAUUGGACUGUCUAGCCGGUGCACUUUCUCUGUGGUGGACACCACGACCGGUGGUACUGCCAGUCUGCUGUAGCCAAGUCGUAUUCGGUGCGUCCUUGUGGCAAACUGGGUGCGAUCACGGGCAAAUUUGGUGUACGGCGUGGAUGCGUCUUUCGAGGUGUGUUCACGUGUUAUCGGCCACUGGUUGUCUUAACGGGCCUGCCUGACAAUUGUUAUAGCUGUUGUUGGGUGGUCUGGUGGGCUAUGGCGGUAUGAAUAACUGUGCAGGGCACCGGGUUUCUCGGCCUCAAAUGCAGUCUGUGUGCACGCUAUAAGUGUGUAUGUUGGGUGUCGUGUCAGCCUGCCUGUUGUUGGGUCUGACUGUCGUGCUGCCUGCGCAAAGUGGGUCCGGCAGUGGCUUGAUGCAGGAUGGAGUUGUUCGCGGCGCCUACAGCGCAGGCUGUGGUGGGCCCGAUAGUCUGUGGUGUAGUGGUAGACCAGCCACCCGACCCGUCUUGAAACACGGACCAAGGAGUUUAACAUGUAUGCAAGUCAAAGGGUCCUACGAAACCCCAAGGCGCAGUGAAAGUGAAGCUGCGGCUCCCUUCUGGGUGUCCGUAGUGAGGUGAGAUUCUGUCGUUUCUCGCAUCCACCUGCCAGUAGCAGGCAUAAGAGCGGCGGACGCAUCACCGGCCCGUCCCUUGAUGUGGUCAUUGGAUAAGGCUGCAGUCGGUCCCCGGUUGUAGUACUGCCAGUGCGUCAUCGGGGCGGAGCAUGAGCAUACACGUUGAGACCCGAAAGAUGGUGAACUAU